GAAAAUAAGGGAUAUGCAUGGUAUUAACGUAAAAAAAAAUUAUUUUGGAGAAAAAAAUGCGGGCGUGCGGCACGUCUUUUUUGAGUGGACUCACAUGGCCUUUGAAAGCUUGGGACGCGCGCUAAAUGGAAACCCAGUAGGAUUUUUUGGUGCGGCUCUUUGGUUCUGAGAAGAAAAAACUCACGUGCGGGACCCGGCGGCUUGGUGAAGAAUUUGGUGGCGUGUGAUUUUUUUGGAGUG
rnacentral:lncRNA from 1 species